AAAAGUGGGGCACCAGUGGCGGUUUUAACAGCAUCACCUGUUACUAAUGUGUGCUCGCUGGAAACUGAAAGAAAAAACGAUUGAUCCGAGGGCUCGCACGUUAUUGAUGGAAAGGCAACAGUCACGGAUCGAUGACAUGUACAGCACCAUCCCCUCUCUCUCUCUCUCCUUAUCUCCUUCCUUCCAUCCCAAUCCUGCCUGUGGCUUCUUUCUCUCCUCCUCCUUUCCUCUCUCUCACCCCCCUAUACAGCACAGCACCAUCUCCACCUGAUCUCCUCUGGCCCGAUGUCCAUGCCACCAAGGAGCCGCCGCCAAGGAUCUGCAGCCCGCCUCUGCACCGGCCUCCUCCAAUGUCGGACCCCGCCAUGCCGCCAAGGAGCAGCCGCUGCACCGCCCUCCUCCAACUCCAUCCAGCUGGAUCCAUCCCCGCUAGCAACUGCCCCGCUGCCGCGGAUCAGGCCGCCCCUAGCCCCUAGCCUGCUGCAACCUCUCCAUCCAGCCGACCACGAGUCCUCCGUCCCUCCCCGGCUUCCUCCCUGAACCGAAGGUGGCAGAUCCAGUCUCCCAUGACCGCGCCCC
rnacentral:lncRNA from 1 species